ACCGUUGUGCAGCUUUGAUUCCACCCCAUAGAGGGCAUCGGCGACCUAUGUCCUAGUGGAGUUCAGUCAGUGAUUCUCCACGUUUUGUUUUCCGCACCCGAACUGUGUAUCGCACCCAUCUCCUAGGAACUAAACCAGGAGCCGCCCCCCCUCUCCUUUAUGGUGCUCUCGACUCCCGCCCCCGAACACACACAGCAGUCCAAGCCCUUGAAAGUUGAGAACCUCCGGGCUGGCUACUUUCACUUGAAAUCAAGGACAAAAGUUUGCAGUUCCCACCGGAGAAGCCAGGCGAACAACUCAGCAAGUGUUCGCGCACAAAUACUGCGGCUGGUUCUGUUCCAGAGCAAGCGCUGCCGCCAAGUUAAUGGCAAUGAGUGAGGUGCUGGGGGCUAAGACCCUGCACCCCCGCAGCAGCGCUGGACGGGCGUGGAAAUGGCUCCGGACGACGGUGGAACGCCCAUUGGGGUGACUCCUGUGCUCUUUGGUGCGAUUUCUGUGGGAAAUGGAGCCUGAGCUGCUGAAG